UACAGAGGUCCCCAAGCGUUGUUCGGAUUCACUGGGCGUAAAGGGUUCGUAGGCGGUGCGGCAAGUUGGGAGUGAAAUCUCUGGGCUUAACCCAGAGGCUGCUUCCAAAACUGCUGUGCUUGAGUGUGAGAGAGGCUCGUGGAAUUGCAGGUGUAGCGGUGAAAUGCGUAGAUAUCUGCAGGAACACCCGUGGCGAAAGCGGCGAGCUGGAUCACAACUGACGCUGAGGAACGAAAGCUAGGGGAGCAAACAGGAUUAGAAACCCUUGUAGU
rnacentral:rRNA from 1 species